AUCAGGGCGCGGCGGAUGAGAAGAGGCAACCAGAACUCCAGGUUGUGCCAAGCUGGACCCUUUCCCGAACAGGAAAGUCCGCAGUGCGCCUGCGCCCUUCUUCCCAGCUGACUUUUUUGCCGACUAGUAAAGGACCUUUCCGGCCACCGUAAUGAAUGAAAAGGACUUGGCCUAAGUUUCCCGGAAGUUUCAAGCAACCAGUCCCCGGUACUACGACAAGUCUCUGGAUUGGGUCUAGGGUUUUCUGCGUCUUCGUGAUGCCAGACUAUGAGGACUUCCCAGGGCUGCCCCAGUUUGUAGCUGUGAAUCGAGCCUUCCUAAUGUUAUUCUACAAAUUGUUUUAUAUCUUGAAAAGAUAGUGAAAAUUGUGAAUGCUAUUGAAAACAAUUCCAGUCACCAUUCAGAUUCAUACAGUACAAAAUACAUCUCUCCAGACAACCCCACAGAAGUUUUGCCAGAGCAGAACCAAUGAAUUCUUUUGAAAACAAGAGUCCAACUUUGACAUGAAUGAGAAAUCGCAUCUCCCUUGCUUACCAGGAAUCUGUUCUGAAGUACCUUAUGAAGAUUCUGAACCUCAUCUCCAAAGGGCAAGCUUUCUUGCCAAUUUAAGAUCACAGAGAGGUGGAGGCAUCUUUCCCAGUGGAUUCAGCAGAAAAGUCCCUGAACCAGUCACUUUGGCCAGGGGGAAGAUGAAGUGGAACUGGCCGAGCCUGAGUCAUGAGCUCACCUCUGGGACUGAGGGCCAUUGGGCCAGCUCCAUCAACAUGAUGCAGAAUGGAUAUAGGAGGUUUACAAAGUAAAGGCAAUCUUUCUGACAAUAUUAUUGAUCCACUCCCUCUGCUUUUUACUGAAGAAAUCUUGUCAACAGAUGGAUUGGGUUAUCAUCAUUUUCAGCACUGGGCAGCUCUAAGGAUGGCUGAAGACGUGGGGAUACUUUUCACCUCUAGCAAAGCUGUUCCCAAGGGCCCUCUCUGGGCCACUGGGGUGUUUUGCAGUUGAAGAUUGAAGAGCAAAAAUGUGGACAAUACCCCACAAAUAAGGACUUCAUCUGAUGGCUUUCCUGAGGGGCUGGAGACCACAGAUGUGCCCCCUCAUACAUCUGACAGUUGGUGUUGGUGGUCACCUGUGGCACUUGAGUUCUCCAUGUGACCUUUCAUCCUCCAGUUGGUGAGACCUUUCAUCCUCCAGUUGGUGAGAUCUUCAGAAGAUGGCAGUCUUUGGGUUCUGAGAAAGCGAAAAAUGGAAGCUGUAAGUCUUCUUUAAACCUAUCUUUUGAAAUCAGAUGGUGUCACUUUUACUGCAUUAUUCUGCCAGUCCAGGUUUAAGGGGAGGGAAAAUAAACUCCAUCUCUUUGUCUCUUGCAGAGGGACAAAGUCACACUGCAAAGGGGUAUGUGAGAUGUGAGGAAUUGUUGUGACCAUCUCUGAAAACAAUCUACCACAGUGG